CCUACGGGGGGCUGCAGUGAGGAAUAUUGGUCAAUGGACGAGAGUCUGAACCAGCCAAGUAGCGUGAAGGAUGACUGCCCUAUGGGUUGUAAACUUCUUUUAUAUGGGAAUAAAAUGUUCCACGUGUGGGAUUUUGUAUGUACCAUAUGAAUAAGGAUCGGCUAACUCCGUGCCAGCAGCCGCGGUAAUACGGAGGAUCCGAGCGUUAUCCGGAUUUAUUGGGUUUAAAGGGAGCGUAGGUGGAUUGUUAAGUCAGUUGUGAAAGUUUGCGGCUCAACCGUAAAAUUGCAGUUGAAACUGGCAGUCUUGAGUACAGUAGAGGUGGGCGGAAUUCGUGGUGUAGCGGUGAAAUGCUUAGAUAUCACGAAGAACUCCGAUUGCGAAGGCAGUUCACUGGACUGCAACUGACACUGAGGCUCGAAAGUGUGGGUAUCAAACAGGAUUAGAGACCCGUGUAGUC
rnacentral:rRNA from 1 species